GACGAACGCUGGCGGCGUGCUUAACACAUGCAAGUCGAACGGAAAGGCCCUGCUUUUGUGGGGUGCUCGAGUGGCGAACGGGUGAGUAACACGUGAGUAACCUGCCCUUGACUUUGGGAUAACUUCAGGAAACUGGGGCUAAUACCGGAUAGGAGCUCCUGCUGCAUGGUGGGGGUUGGAAAGUUUCGGCGGUUGGGGAUGGACUCGCGGCUUAUCAGCUUGUUGGUGGGGUAGUGGCUUACCAAGGCUUUGACGGGUAGCCGGCCUGAGAGGGUGACCGGCCACAUUGGGACUGAGAUACGGCCCAGGCUCCUACGGGAGGCGGCAGUGGGGAAUAUUGCACAAUGGGCGGAAGCCUGAUGCAGCAACGCCGCGUGCGGGAUGACGGCCUUCGGGUUGUAAACCGCUUUCGCCUGUGACGAAGCGUGAGUGACGGUAAUGGGUAAAGAAGCACCGGCUAACUACGUG
rnacentral:rRNA from 1 species